GAGCUUACAAUUGAUCUGACAGUUACACUGAGCUUCACUCCAGAAACCCUCCCGGGACUCUACCCUGUUAGGAAUCAGUGGUAUGACGAUUAUUGCGUCACAACCAUGCGACCAAUGAUGACGGUGAAGCACGAAGGGGCAGUGUCUAGAGCUGUCCCCGCCCACAUCAUGUGAUGGGGAGAGGACGCUAGUGGCGCGCAGGUAUAAAAGCAGAACUGGUGCCGGCCCUGCGGAAUGGCUGUGAGGGAGGAGGCGGUUGCUCGGUGAAUCUGCUGACAGGAUUAUACCCCCAAAGUCUCCCAUUCUGCAGUACCAGACUGUGCAGGGGCAGAACAUGGACUCACACAGAAUUAUCAGCCGCUGCCCCGCCCUUUGAGUUGUAUUUCUGCCUAACCCCACCCACUUGUGGGGCCUGGCGCGAGGGAGGAGCUAGUGCGGCACGCAGAAGAGCGCACUAAGAGCCGCAGGUACCUGAGGGGUCC